GUUUUAAUAAUUUAAAUAAAAUAUUGGUCUUGUAAACCAAACUUAAGAAUUAUCCUUUUAAAACU
rnacentral:tRNA from 1 species